UUUCGCAAUGCCCGAAAGGGUGACGAAGCGACGCCGCGUGGGUGAGGAAGGCCUUCGGGUUGUAAAGCCCUGUCAGGAGUUAAGAAAUGUAAGUGCGCUAAUAUCGCAUUUAUUUGACGAAGGCUCCAAAGGAAGUCACGGCUAACUCUGUGCCAGCAGCCGCGGUAAUACAGAGGUGGCAAGCGUUGUUCGGAAUUAUUGGGCGUAAAGAGCACGUAGGUGGGUUUGUAAGUCAGAUGUGAAAGCCUUCUGUUCAACGGAAGAAUUGCAUCUGAAACUGCGAGUCUUGAGUGUAGGAGGGGAGAAUGGAACUUCUGGUGGAGCGGUGAAAUGCGUAGAUAUCAGAAGGAACGCCGGCGGCGAAAGCGAUUCUCUGGCCUAUUACUGACACUCAGUGUGCGAAAGCUAGGGGAGCAAACGGGAUUAGAUACCCCGGUAGUCCUAGCCGUAAACGAUGGGCACUAAGUAGAGGGGUUUU
rnacentral:rRNA from 2 species